ensembl:antisense Gm14397 predicted gene 14397
GGUUACGAGGCAGAAUCUCUCUGUCUCUUCUCUGCCUGUUCCUUCCAUCCCACAGUAAGGAAUGAUUCCAACCCAGAUCUUACUGGCUAGGAUGUCACCCUCCAGACACACUGGACCUGUAACAUCGAGAAGAAGAGCAAGCCUGCCGUGUGCCCUGGGUCAUCACAGCUCCUCAGAGCUGAGGACAAUGUGAGAAGUGGGACCUUCUAAGAGGCUAUCCAACGGGGUACAGGAAGCCGCAUCAGGCUCCUGGAGGAGGCGGUACAGUGUGAGGGGGAGAGCUGGAAGGCCACAGAGGUAUCUCAUGGAACCUGGAGCUAGCUCACCAAGUCGGCUAGAGUAGCCGACUAGCAAGCCAUGGGGACACCCCAGUCUCUGCAGACCCCAAGGAUUACCUGGGAUCCCUGGGGGUCCACUCCGAAGGCCAGGGCCCCCUGCCACCUGUCCCCACCAGAAACCUCCCAUCCUGUUGUCCCUCCAGCAGGGGAGCAGGAGCUAGUGCUGUUGCUAGGCAAGAGGAUGUAGCACAUAUAGAUCUUCCUGGACUUUAAUUAAAAACAUCUUUAGAAGUCGUCU